rnacentral:lncRNA from 10 species
UCUAGCUCAUGUAUCAUUCUUUUGUUUAGGUCCUCAGUAUUUAUAAACAGGUCUUCUGGUCAUAAAUUAGUAUCAUAUGAGCCAUCAGUAUGAGGGAGGAAGCAAAGUGAAGAACACAGAUUUCACAGAUGGGAUGCCUGGCUCAAAUUCCAGCUUGACCGCUGGUAGCUGUGUGACCCUCGGCAAGUUACUUGACCUCUCUCUACUCAGUGUCCUCAUCUGUCAGAUUUUGGUAUCUGACUGAUGCUGUCUUCGUGGAAUGAGUUAGGAAAGAGUCCCUCCUCGUCAACUGUUGGGAAUACAUUCAGCAGGGUUGGUAUCAUUGCAUGUCUGGCAGAAUUUGACUAGGAAUCCAUCUGGUCCAGGAUUUUUUUUGUUGAAAUGCGUAAAUGGCGACAGUAGAGCCAGCCUUCAUGAAUCCAGAAAUGUGAGCCACAUUUUGAGGAUAGCAGAGUCACUGCAGAAGCCUGGAUCCUUGCAUAACCUUGUCGAGUGGGAAAAUCUACCCAUACUUGACCAACCACCUAACUGGGGGCUCUACAUCUGAGAGAAAUGAUUUUUUAUCUUAUUUAAGCCACUGUAGUUAGGAGUCAGUUUAUUACAGGACAUUGCCUGGUGUUCCAACAAAUAAACUACCUUAUUUGUUUCAAUAAAUAAAGUGGCUUUUAUUUACUAUUUUGGGGAUGGCUAAAAAAUUAUCAAACUAGGUAGAACUAAACUAAAGUUUCAGAUGAAAGAAGAUCUUCAUAAGCAACAUCACCAUCUUGUCACAGCAGCCAAAUGGUGGCAUGUCAUUUCUUCCAGGAAAGUAUAUAUACUCUGAAUGUAUCAUGUUUCAGCAUUGCUC